GGUUGGGUCCCGCGCGACGUAGACUUGUGAACCCCGCCAGGUCCGGAAGGAAGCAACGGUAAACAGGAACCUGCGUGCGCCGUGGGAGCGCCUGGCCUGA
rnacentral:SRP_RNA from 1 species